rnacentral:rRNA from 1 species
CCUACGGGGGGCAGCAGUGAGGAAUAUUGGUCAAUGGCCGGAAGGCUGAACCAGCCAUGCCGCGUGAAGGUCAGUGCCCUAUGGGCGUUAAACUUCUUUUGUGCGGGAGCAAUAAUGGUCACGUGUGGCCAGACGAGAGUACCGUACGAAUAAGCAUCGGCUAACUCUGUGCCAGCAGCCGCGGUAAUACGGGGGAUGCAAGCGUUAUCCGGAUUUAUUGGGUUUAAAGGGUGCGUAGGCUGUGAGGUAAGUCAGCGGUGAAAUGCCCUCGCUCAACGGGGUGAAGUGCCAUUGAUACUGCCUGGCUGGAAUGCGGAUGCCGUGGGAGGAAUGUGUGGUGUAGCGGUGAAAUGCAUAGAUAUCACACAGAACACCGAAUGCGAAGGCAUCUCACGAAUCCGCGAUUGACGCUGAUGCACGAAAGCGUGGGUAUCAAACAGGAUUAGAUACCCCUGUAGUC